rnacentral:lncRNA from 1 species
CGCGGCUCCUCCUCGCCCCUGUCGCGGUUCCUGCCUCAGGGGCAGCGUCGGGCCGCCCAGCCCGCGCCCCCGCCUCUUCUAGGCUUCCGCACGUGGCUCUCUAGCCAGGUGGAGAGCGUCAGAAUUGAGUUGAACUGUAUGGCACCCACAGUGUGGAGGUGUAAACCUCACCCCCACAUCCUAAUGGGGUCCUCAGUUUGAUGAACGGCCCAAACCAGAUCCCACCCAGGAAAUGAAAGCAUCUUCACCAGGAAUAGGGUCACUUGCUGCAGGAAGCCCCUGCUGGUUCAGCUGGUCAAUGUCAUUAAAUAAAAGCAGGUUUCUUGCUUACUUACCUACUUAGAUGAUGGAAAAAAAAAACCCUAAGAGGAAGUGUCUUCACAGGAGCCACCCUCCUGGUAGAAGUUCUGGAUCACAGGGGCUUGUAAGAGUGAAAUGACAGAGGGAAGUGUCCAGUAAGAGUCGAAGAACUGAAUAUAUGCGCUCACUCUCCCCCCGCCUCGCCUUGGUCUCCCCUGAAACCUCGCUGAGAUGGGAGGAAGGGUUUUCAUUUUUGUCAUUUGCUCUUUAAUCAUCAGUCUCCAAGGGCAAAUAGAACAGAGGACAGUACGAUA